CAUACUUAAUUUACUAUAUUUAAUCUCACAUCACAAAGACAAGUAAAUAUACAUAAAAGGUCAACUAAAAGUAUAUAUCCAUCAUCAUAUGACUCUGAGAUAUAUGAAAAAUGCUUGACUUACCACCACAUUAGACCAUAUGCUUCAUUUGGUUUCACGGUAUAGUGAAUUCGCUUAAGAAAACCUUCUUGUAAUCUAUCAUUCAAGUAAUCCUAUUCAAACCAAAAGAAAUUCGUAAGGCAACAAGGUGGCCAAACUCAUUGAAAACCCUAACAAAACCAACCAAGUGAAUGUAGAGUCACUUAAAUUCCAUACCACAUCAACCUUUAAAGGCCCGUCCAGCCUCAAAGUCUUAAAACCUUUUCCAUACUCAACUCCAAUAUACUAAAGGGCAAAACAAACAAGAACAAAACCAUCAAAGUUUAUCACAACACAUACAUACCACAAAAAGACCAUAUUAAAACUGCUCCUCCCUCUAAAUUUAGAGAAUUCACCAAAAAAACAAAUUCUUUCUAAACAAAUUAGAAAAGAAAAAACACCUGUUUCUUGUUUUGUAGAACCCUGACCUGCAGUGCUUAACUCGUACAUAACCUCAGCAACUCUUUCCUUUCCAUUUAAUGUUCUUACAAAUUUUUCAGCUUCAGGAAUUUUCCCUUGAUGCGAAAUUGAUGUGUUCAAUCAAUAAGGAAUCAAUAUUACAUAUAUCGAUGUGAGAUGAAUAGAAAUGCAAAAUAAAGAGACUGAGUAGUCCAAUAAGAAACUUGAAACAGGCAUCGAGGACUUUCUGGGGACAAAGCCAUUCCUAGCGGCAAUAAAAUAGAUGGGACAGCAGCAAUACCAAACAUUGUCCUCCACCUAAUAGAAAAGAAUAUAAAUAAGACAGAACUAGUUAGUGUAAAUGCUUAACUAGACAAAAAAAUUUAUUUGCAAAAAAAAUCCAAUUCUUAAUUACAUUUUGGCACAUCAUGCACAACAUUAAUAUGUAUAGCAAUGAAGAGGCAUUUUCCUGACCUAUUCACUCAAUCUCACAAACACAAAAGAAGAUCCAAAAAAUAAAGAUAGAUCAUAAAGCAUACCAAAAAAUUAGACAUUUGAACUAGUUAGAUGGAGCUUUUUCUUUUUUUUAUCUAGUACAACUUUUUGGGGGAAGGAGGGAUUUGCCCCCGGCUCUUUCAACAGGGAGGUACAUGCACCUAUGAUUGAGACAAAUGGUCGGGUGUGUAGGGAAUACAGUUACAAUGAAUAUGGUAUAAUGACAGCAAAUGGACAACAAAGAAGCCUAAUCCCACAGCAUAGUGUGUGGGAUUGACUACAUGAAUUAUAUUACACCAUUGUGCUUUGUCUAAAAACAUUUGCCCAAUAUGAUUAGUAAAGGAAAGGUCAUUUUUAUCCUUUUAACCCAUGUCUUAUUGGUCUACCCAUCACCCUUUUGCCAGCAAGAUGAAUGAAGGAAAAAAAAGAAAAAAAUAAUGCAGAAAAUGGAUAAAAUCAGCCUAUCAUUCCAUGAAAAGGGGCCAAUGAGAGGAAGAACGGUCUCAGAGACUAGUAAGGGAAAGAUUUACGACCAAAUACAGCUGCCAAAAAAAAAAAAGAAAAAACUUUUAAGCUUUAUUACCAAAUUCAGCCCAGAUUUUAGAAACUUCUAACUACAAUUCUCAUCAACAAUUAGAAGGGUCCAAACUCUUUAGAUGCAUGAUUGAAUGCACGCUCAGUAGUUUCCAAACAAAUAGUAAAAACACAAUUUAACAUACCAAAUGAACCAUGUGACACAAGUAUAAAAAGUUCUAGGAUAAUAUACCAUAGCGGGUUUCCAACUAAAGGUAAUCCAGCCAUCAACGCUGCAAGAAUCCCAAUACAUAUAAAAAGUUGGUUUAUGGAUCCAAGGGCACCACGGAUUUCAGUUGGUGAGAUCAGACAAAUAGAAAGAAUGUCAGCAGAUGUUUCCAAAAAACUAGACAACUAAAGCAAAUAAUAAAGAUGAAAACAAGUCGGUCGGGGAUGGUUUUUGCUCACACCCGAACCCGACCCGAAAUUUUUUUUAAUUUUUUUCAUACCAAAAUCCAACCAGACCCGAUAUUAUAUAAACCGUACUCGACCCGACCCAAAAUUAAUAAAAUAUUAUUUUUUUAAAUAUAAAAUAUUAUUUUUUAUAAAUAUAUAAAUAUAUAUAAAUAAAAAAUUAAAAAAUAAUUUUUUAUAUAAUAUCAGAUCGGGUCGGGUUUUCCUAAAACCCGACCUGACCUGACCCCUAUUCUUCUUUAAUAAUACUCAAUCCGACCCAACCCGAAACCCGAUUUUCAAAAAAAAAAAAACCGACCCUAUAAGGUCGGGUCAAGUCAGAACCCACCGGGUACAGGUUGGGCUACCAACCCUAAUUAUCAUAGUCUGGACAGUCUGGGCCAUAGCACUGAAAACAUUUAAGCGAUUUUAAAAAAUUAGUUUUCUAUGACAGUAGACAAGCUGAUAGUUAAUGAAAUGAUACAAAGUAAGAACUGCUCCAAUAAUAAGAGGGAUAGCAUCUAAUUGAAAAGUCCUUGUCCUGCCAAACUUGUCUGCCAGUUCUCCCCCAGUAAAUGAACCAGCAGUGGCACCAGCAAGGAGUGUGCUAACAAACCCAUCCUACUCAAAUUAACAUAACGUAAUAAGAAGUUAGCUAGUUAGUCAAAAAGUUGUACAAUUUAAAGACUAACAAAUUACACACAUAAUCAAAAUAACCAAAUUGAAAAAAAGGCAAAAAAAACAAUCCAACAAUGUCUGACAUUGCUCGAAUGAUUACAAGCGAAGCCAUUUCAUUUUUAUAAACAAAACACAUGACGAGAGAUGAACAGCAUGGGGAGUUGAAUGUGCUCUAUUUCACUUAAUUUCACUAAAUAAUCUUCAAGCAAUAAAUGUGUUAUGGGAAUUUGGUUUAUCAGAGACCAAAAUACACAUGUAAAAGAUUUUAGAAACAAACAACAAAUCAAAGGAAAGGAAAAAGAAACAAAUUAAGAGGCUGAAUUUUCAUUGCAAUUAAAGAUCACAACACAUGCCUUGCAUGACAGUAUUUUCAGCAAUCCCCAGAUCCUUAGAUAGAUAUUCAAGAGCAUCAUUUACCACCCUGAAGAAAGAAAAAGAAAAGGAGGGUGGGGAGAAUUAGAAGAGUGUAGCAUUAUCAAAGCCAAGCACAAAGCAACAAACAAAUAAGCAAGCCAUAUGAUAAAAAAAAUGUAGCAUGCCAACUGCCAAGAUAUCGAUCAUGGAUUCUUUGCAUAAAUUUCUGCAACAAAUAUUUUUUUAUCUAGAAUAUAACCAAUGGAGGGAAUCUUCUCCAGUGUUUGACCAUUCCCAAAAUACUGGAAACAUUCACCCACAUCCCUUGUUGCAGGCAUCGUAUUUUUUUGGGACACAUAAUGAACCAUAUUGAUUCUCUCCGAUGCGUUAGUAUUACUGGAGAGUAUACUUAUCUGUUUCUACAGAACUAAUUGUCUAAGGUAUAAUAUAGAUUCUAAGAUCACUAAAUUAACAAGUUUAGAACCAAGAAACAAGAGCAUGUUCCUUCUGGGUUGAACUGGUAUAUACCCUAGAUGGUAACCAAAUAAUAUAGCACCCAAGCAGAACCAUCCCAGAUGAUUUCCCCUGAGGGUUGAUCAGUUUCAAAUCCUCAAUGUCUCCACCUGCAGAAUAAUUCCAAUUGCCAUUUGAAAACAAUAUAGAAAAGCAGGUUAGAAAGAAUUUGACAAGCAUACAUCCGACAUUACCAACACAACCAUGCAAGUUAAUAGAUUUUAGUGGAAAGAAUGUUAUGUCCAAAUUAAACUAACACAAUAACAAAAUCAGUUAAACACAUCUACAAGAAUAAAGUAUGUAACUAGUUAUACCCUAAACCAUCACCAUUGUGCUAUAGAAUAUAUCAGUAGAAUUUAGUUAUUGUUUUUGCUACUUAUAUUUUGCACUAGAAGCAAAAAGCAUGCUUGGAAACAAAAUCAAGUUAUAUUCUUGUAUAAUUAAAAGUAAAAAAUUUAACCUUUUAAACACCAAAAUGCAUGACUUUACUUUUACAGGGAAUAAUAACUUUUGAAUGUGUCACAUUUCAGGUUUAAUCAAAUACAAGAUGCUACUUUUUAUUAUAUACUUUUACUUUCCAUUAAUUUUUUGAGAAGCAAAAAGGAAAGUAUCGAAAUUGACAACCAAACAAAGCCAAAAUGACUCAUUUCUUUGCAAGAUGCUCCCUACAAUUCCCAGGACGCAAUGCCUCCGAAGUUUUUCUAUACAUAAAAAAUUUGAAAUAUCUGUCUAAUAACUAAAACAAAUGCAGAUGAUUAACAAGAGCAAUGUUUUGUGCCUUUAAUGCAGUCCUUUAAGAUGGGAAAUAGAAAGAAAGAAAUAAUAGAAAAGAGAAAGUAGAGAAUAGAGAAGAGGAGAGAAAAAUCCAAAGUAUUAAGAGGGAGAGAGUAAAACAGAAUUUGCUUCCAUUUCGUGAGUGCCCAAUACCUCACGUUCAUCCUUUUUGUAACAGACAGUUGCAAUAUAUGGCAAUAUCCAUAUGGAUUAUCCCAGCUACUGAGCUUGGCCUAGCACUAGCCCAAAACAACAGAAAAUAAAAAAUCUAAACAAAUAACAAAAUUAUCUAUUACUCCCACAGGCAUGAAUAUCAUUAGGCAGAGAAAAACCGAUCUCAUCAAACAUGCAAUGCGUUCAUCAAGAAAUUUUUCUCACUUUAAAAAUCUAAUAUUAAUUCACUAAAAAAAUUUAACCAAAACGCAGAUUAAAAUUAGAGAGAGAGAGACCAGAAGCCUGGGCUUUGACCGAUCGAGAUUUGACCGAAGAGCGAACGACAGUUUCGAUGCCAUUUCUGGCACGUGCAAGCUCAGCUCCCAUUGAAACGGCACCGGAGUUCAAACCGCUGCAAAUGGAACCACUUCGGAUGCAAAGAUUACGAUUCAAAGUUAAAUUUCGUUCCGUAACUUUACCAAAAAAGGGUAAAACUCUCCGUUUUGAAAGCUCAAAGCCUAAAGUUCCUUUGAUUAAAUGUUUUGACGCCUGCAUUCUGAAUUACCUGACUCACCAAAAAAAAUAUAUAUUUAACCGACAAAUCAAAACAGUCAAAAAAAAAGAAAAGAAGAAGAACAUUAAAUCUAGAAAUAAAGAUCAAAACAGAACCGUAUUCACGAAACAGAAUGACUGAGAAGUGAGAGUGAGAUUUCGAAUUCAAAGGCGGAGUGGAGAGAGAGAGAAAGGAUGAUCCAGUUUCUGGGUUCUGUUUGGAUGUGAGAUUUUAUUUUGUAGUGUAAUUUUGAUGGAAAGCUUCGGAAAAUCCGUUGAGAGAAAAAGAAAAACUGUUUGCUUACUAAAAACUUUCCAAGAACAAAAUUGGUGGAGAAUUCAAUCCAUUAUUCUCUCUCUUUCUUUUGUUUUUUCUUUUUCAAAAAAUUGAAGUUAAUUAAUUAUAAAAUUUUAAAUUUUACAAUAUACUAAUCAAUUUGUGGAGAUUCACAGAAUCAAAGGCAUAAAAUUUUUUUUAAACGAGAAUAAUAAGAAAUGUAAAUUACGUUGAGAGUAUCGGUGUUUGGAUGGAUAUAUGAUUACGUGAGAUUAUUUUGAAUUAGAUUUAUAAUCGUGUUGACAUUGACGUGGGCGCUUCUCAUGCAAUAAAUUCUUGUUUUUUUUUUUUAUUCAAAUUGAAUUACAUAAAAAGAUAAAGAAAUUUUUGGAAUUACAAUUUAAUAAUUAUUUAAAUUUUUAUUAUUUUUUUAAUUAAUUAUAUUUUUAAAAAUUUAUUUUUAUCAACUGAAUUUUUUUAGAAUGAAAGGGUUAAUUAAAAAAAUAAAUAUUUAAAAAUUUAAUUAAAUAAAAAUAAAUAUUUAAAGAUUUAAUUGAAUUAAAACAAAAAAUAGUGUUUAAUUAAUAAUAAUAAAAUAUCAAAAACGUAAAUAAUUAUUAAAUUUUUAUCUAAAAAUCUUUUUGACUCUUUUGCCAAUCGAAUUAUAAUUUUAUAAUUUAUCGUAUUAUUUUUUAGUGUUAAGCUAAAACAAGCUUUUAACAUCUAAAUUGUAGAUUAAUUUAAAUUUUAAAAUCUCAUCUUAUGUGAGUACCAAUUCAAAAUUCCAUCUUUUAAAGAUUCUUUUAAUUGAGGCAAAUAUGUAAACAUAUAUAUUAUAAGUAAAAACACAAUUAUAAAUAUACAUGACUUGAUGUGAAAAUUUGUCCAUAAAGUUUAUCACGAUUUUUUCAACCAAUAGUUACUUUCAAUAAAUUCUCUAAAAAAUAAAUAUUCUUAAAUGUAACAGCUACGUGAAAAAAGUAAGAAAAAAAUUAUUUUAAUUAUUAUAUUUAUAUAAAAAAAAAAGAUGAAAGAGAAUAAAAGAAAUGAUGAUUUUCCAUCUUUAUUUUCAUUACAAAAUACUUUAAAUUAAAAAAGAUAAAAUGACAGAAAUUAUGAAAAAAAUAUAUACACUUACCUUUUAGAGAAAUUAAACAAUUUUUUUUUCAAAAUGGGUAAAAUCUAUUUAACAUAAUAAAGAUUAAAAAUAAUGAUAACAAUAAUGGUGAAAUUGAUAAAUGUAUUAUGAGAUUAAAAAUUAAGCAUGAGAUGCUAUUUGUUUAGUAAAAGUGUAAUGAGAUAAGAUAAAAAAAUUCAUUAAGAUAUUAUAUUAAAUUAGCAUAUUAUGUAAUUUAUAAUAUACUAAUGUCGGGAUUUCACUCAGUUUGUUAUAAUAAUUUUUAGUAUUUUAUUAAAUUAAUAUUUAUUUAAAUAAUGAUUUGUAUAAAUUUGACAUAAAAAUUUUACUUUUUAUAUUUAAAAUAUAAUUUUAAAAAAUAAAAAAUUAUCUUACAAUUAAAUACAAGUCUAAUUCUAGUUAUGAUAAAGUUUACAAGUAACAUUAAAAAAAAAAAUUCAAAGCGUGAGAUGAAACCUGUGACCAAAGUUACAGUAGUUAAUAUAAAGUAAUAAUUUAAGAAAAAGUUUAUGUUGUUAAUUCCUAGUUCUACAAAGCCUGCAACUCCUAAUUUCCCCUCUCCAAGUCUUUCUUUAACCAUUCCAGCUCUUGAACUCUCUUAGUUGCAGUUGGAACUAUCAAGUUUUAUCAUUCUUCCAUGAAAAUUCAAAGAAAAUACUCAAUGAAAACAGCAUAAUUAGUAAUUAUAUAAUGCAAAAAAAUCUAGUUGCACCGAAUAGAUUAACUAAACCAAUCUUGGUGUCAAGAGAGAGCAUGGAAUGCAAAGCAAAUUUUCAUGAAUUACCUCCUCACGCCUAGGAGCAUGGAAUGCAACACCAACACCAGAAUCAUUUUAGUGAGUAUUAGAAGUUGAAAGACUUUAUAGAGUAAAAAAGUUAUAUGUUUCAAUUUGGUUAGCAUGUCAAAACCAAUGCAUCUUAGCAUAAAUAACUAAUGAAAAGUAAUCUUUAAAGUUUGCUCCUACCAUGUCAGCCUAAUAGCCCUCGAUUUGUAUUCAACAGUAACAAGUAGAAAAAUGGUUACACUUGCAUUUCAUUUUGAUGUAGCUAUGAUUUGUUAGGCAAAACAGUACAGUUAUAACUCAAAACAAAAUAAUUGAAAAAAAGGUAAAAGUGAUACUACCUAAUUUCUGAUUCUUACCUAAAUUGUCUGAAGAAGACGUACAUCUAAACAAAUCAUCGAUGAAAGGGUAAUUAUCAAUUUUUGCAGCAGCAAUUGAAAUAACAACUGCCAAUCCACAUAUUGCUCUUUCAAUAUGAUUUUUUUUUCCUUUGCAACAGUUCCGAUUGGUUAUCCACCACAUUUUGCAUUGCAUCGGUGCAUUUUUGGCAUGAACCAUCAAAUGAAGAACUAAGAUUUGAGCAAGUCUUUAAUGCGUCUUGGUAUGAUGGCUCACUCUUAAUCUCUAUCAAAGAUAGACUUGAGCAUUGGCUAUUGCCCAAGUAAAAGUCAUCAAAGCCACAAGAAUGUCUGGACACUGAUUUUUGCCCAAUAAAAGGACCAUCACAUUUUCUAUAAGCCACAAGAAGCUACCUAAUUGGUGCCUUCUACACAACACAAAAAAAUAUCUAAUCUAACACAGAAUUUGAUGGCAUUUAUGAGUUACCUCCUCAUGCCUGGGAAUCCAUUUGUUUGCAUGCAGAUCAAGAACAUCAUGAACCAUAAAUCUCAGUCUUGGCGCAAGCAGAGGAUUUGAAAUCAAUUCCUUCAGUCUCGUAAAGUACAUAUCAUUUAUGCGCUGUGAUUUUGAACUCUCAUCAAGUUGCUUACCAAUAGUGUUGAAGACCUGACAAAUGGCUUCAACAUUCUCCUCUGCAGGGCAAGCUCUAGUAUUAGGGCCCAAAAGUUCCCUAUUUGACAAAAUAGGCAAAAAAUGAUUUAGCAUAACGUACGAUAAAUUUGAGUUCCAUGGAUGAGAAAGGAUGUAUUGGCAAUAACCUGUAUGAUAUGAUGGACUAUUUUCUUAGGUACCAUUUUCUGCUUCAGAAGCUUACCAAUCAAAGGAAUGUUACCUAGAGUGCGGAGCUUGACCAUCCCUUCUUUAUCUCUAUGUUCCAUCUCUUCCUCAAGGGUAGUCAUUAGCCUCACUUCUUCCCUGAGCUUGUCAGCUCCACCAAACAAAAUUGGUCAUCACAACAAAUAAUUGGUUAAUCAAAAUAAUACAACAUGCAAACCUCGCAACAAAUUCUAAUUAUUCUAUAAAGCUUAUUUGCACGUAGAAGAAUUCACAUUUAAAAUUUGAUUCUUGAUAUGAUAAUCUGCAAUUUCUGCUGACACCUACAUAUCUCUAGAGCAUGGUGGGCAUCCCCUAAAAUAACUGCUACCUGAAAUAUGCAUAUGACAUACUUUAACUGACACCGGAGUCUCAACACAUCUUACAACUUGGGCUGAGAUUAAGGAGGACUUAUCCAAAACUAAAAUUGGCAUAUCAUUGAUCCAAGUCCAUUAAACAAAUGUAAAAAUAAGGGGAGCUAGAAUAGAGAGAUUGUGUUCACAAUAGCUAGAAAAGGAGAGAAUGAAGAUGGAUGGGAUUAUAGUCAGAUUCAUGGAUGAACCUAGACACCAAAUAUUAAGCACAUUAUCAAUGUGCAAGGCUUGUAAUUUGCAGGAAUAAAUAGAUAGCUAAUUAUGUUCACACUACAGAUUAUUACAUUCACAUGCAAAUCCCAUGAUUUUAGGUACCAUUUCAGCAGGACAAGAUUGAAGGUGAUUCUGUCAAUUCAGCAAUAAAAAAAGGCAAUCUUAAGGUAGGAAUAGUGUUGUUUUAUCCAUAAGCAAUCUUUUAGAUUGUUCUCAAGUUUUGCAUCUUUUAGGUGAAUUUCUUAGAGUGGUGAACUUCUAUAGUUCUAUAUCCUUGAUUAAAAUUUUUAGGGUGUUGUCUGUUUUUGUAUCCCUUAGUGUCUAGUCUUGGUAGUGAACUUUUAUAAUCUUAAUCCAAUAACAAUAUUAUGACAUUAUUCAAAUUCUUAUGAGUUGUCAACUUUUGUGAGUUUUUCUAUUUACAAUUAAUCUUCAACAUCUUAACCAUCAAUUCCUGGCAUCAUUAACAUCAAAUGGAUGGUAGUGCAACCUUAUAAAAAUGCAAGAAUACAUCAAUUUUAGUAGAUGAAAAUAAAGAAUGAAAACUAGCUUUCAUAGAAAAACAACAACCCAUAUAGCAAACAUUCCAAAUUAAUACACAAAGACUGACUUGAGCUUGGAUAUGAAAUGCAGAUAAGCCAAAAGAACUAUGAAAAGUAAAUACUAAGCUAAGACAAUAAAAAACCUAUAAUAUCAAACAUCCCAAAUUAAUCAUAAGAAAUACAACUUUUAGCUUGCAUAACAAAACCUAGAAACCAAAAAGUUAUAAUAAUAAUAAUAAUAACAACAACGUAGCUAAAAUAAUAACCCAAGUCAAACUUCCCAAAUUAGUCAUCAAAAAAAUGGACUUUGAGCUUCAGUAACAAAUAGCCAGGAUCCAAGAACCAAAAAAUAAGACAAACCAAUAAUUAAGCUACAAUAACAAUGGUCCAGAUAUCAAAAACUAAAAAAUAAUCACAAAAAGGUUUAAAAAACACAUCUUUGACCUUCAAUACUAACUAUUCAGAAGCAAAAAAAAGGUGAUUGAUAGAGAAAUAGGUACCAAAAAGGGACAUAAAGGUGAGCUCCUCAGGCUUAGGGAUACAACUAUCAUGAACCUUCAUGGUGAUGCUGCCACCUAUUUUUGAGACCCAUCCAAGAUUAUUGAACUGGCGACAAAGCUCAGAUAUCAAAGACCUUGUCUCUUUCACUACUUUGCUCUCUAAAUAAGCUUGUGAAACACUCCCCAUCUUCAAGCCCCCGUUUACUGCCACUGUUGUAGGUAUAGCCAUUGCAAAAACAAAGGCUUUCUUUAUAUUGGCCAAAAAAGAAAGAGGAAGUUUUGCAUGUUUUGUAGGAUAGAAUUUAGAAAUGGACUAGUCUUUACAGUUUAUUAUCAGAAUUAUAUAUCUUAAGCUUUUUUAUAUGUAGACACACAUAUAUACAUAUUGCACCUUACUUCACUUAGGCAACCAAUUGUUUUGCACAUUGCACCUCGAGCAAUAUAACGGUUCUAGAGCCCAUAGUGCACCUAGCACCCUUGAUAACACUGAAUCCAAGUCCCUUAUUUGAAAGAGAGACAAGGCUAAAAACAUGUUUGGUAUGAUAACCAGUUAUUUUCUAUUUGGUUAGGACUGUUAUAUCACAUACUUAAUUUACUAUAUUUAAUCCCACAUCACAAAGACAAAUAAAUAUACAUAAAAGGUCAACCAAAAGUAUAUAUCCAUCAUCAUAUGACUCUGAGAUAUACGAAAAAUGCUUGACUUACCACCACAUUAUCCCAAGAGAAAAUUAGACCAUAUGCUUCAUUUGGUUUCAUGGUAUAGCAAAUUCGCUUAAGAAAACCUUCUUGUAAUCUACCAUUCAAGUAAUCCUAUUCAAACCAAAAGAAAUUCGUAAGGCAAUAAGAUGGCCAAACUCAUUGAAAACCCUGAUAAAACCAAUCAAGUGAAUGUAAAGUCACUUAAAUUCCUUACCACAUCAACCUUUAAAGGCCUGUCCAGCCUAAAGGUCUCAAAACCUUUUCCAUACUCAACUCCAAUAUACUAAAAGGCAAAACAAACAUGAACAAAACCAUUAAAAUUUAUCACAACACAUACAUACCACAAAAAGACCAUAUUAAAACUGCUCCUCUCCCUAAAUUUAGAGAAUUCACCAAAAAAUCAAAUUCUUUCUAAACAAAUUAGAAAAGAAAAAACACCUGCUUCUUGUUCUGUAGAACCCUGACCUGCAGUUCUUAACUCAUACAUAACCUAAGCAACUCUUUCCUUUCCAUUUAAUGUUCUUACAGAUUUUUCAGCUUCAGGAAUUUUCCCUUGAUGUGAAAUUGAUGUGUUCAAUCAAUAAGGAAUCAAUAUUAUAUAUAUCAAUGUGAGAUGAAUAGAAACGCAAAAUAAAAAGACUGAGUGGUCCAAUAAGAAACUUGAAACAGCCACCAAGGACUUUCUGGGGACAAAGCCAUUCCUAGCGCCAAUAAAAUAGAAGGGACAACAGCAAUACCAAACAUUGUCCUCCACCUAAUAGAAAAAAAUAUAAACAAGACAGAACUGGUUAAUGUAAAAGCUUAAGUAAACACAAAAAUUUAUUUGCAAAAGAAGUCCAAUUCUCAAUUACAUUUUGGCACAUCAUGCACAACAUUAAUAUGCAUAGUGAUGAGGCAUUUUCCUGACCUAUUCACUCAAUCUCACAAACACAGAAGAAGAUCCAAAAAAUAAAGAUAGAUCAGAAAGCAUACCAAAAAAUUAAACAUUCGAACUAGUCAGAUGGAGCUUUUUCUUUUUUUUUUCUUUUUUUUUAAUCUAGUACAACUUUUUUGGGGAAGGAGGGAUUUGCCCCCGGCUUUUUGAGCAGGGAGAUACAUGCACCUAUGAUUGAGACAAAUGCUCAGAUGUGUAGGGAAUAUAGUUACAAGGAAUAUGGUAUAAUGACAGCAAAUGGACAACAAAGAAGCCUAAUCCCACACCAUAGUGUGUGGGAUUGAAUACAUGAAUUAUAUUACACCAUUGUGCUUUGUCUAAAAACAUUUGUCCAAUAUGAUUAGUAAAGGAAAGGUCAUUUUGAUCCUUUUAACACAUGUCUUAUUGGUCUACCCGUCACCCUUUAGCCAGCAAGAUGAAUGAAGAAAAAAAAAGAAAAAAAUAAUGCAGAAAAGGGAUAAAAUCAGCCUAUCAUUCCAUGAAAAGGGGCCAAUGAGAGGAAGAACGGUCUCGGAGACUAGUAAAGGAAAGAUUUACUACCAAAUACAGCUACCAAAAAAAAAAAAAGAACCUUACAGCUACCAAAAAAAAAAAGAACUUUGAAGCUUUAUUACCAAAUUCAGCCCAGAUUUUAGAAACUUCUAACUACAAUUCUCAUCAACAGUUAGAAGGGUCCAAACUCUAGAUGCAUGAUUGAAUGCAUGCUCAGUAGUUUCCAGACAAAUAGUAAAAACACAAUUUAACAUACCAAAUGAACCAUGUGACACAAGUAUAAAAAGUUCUAGGAUAAUAUACCAUAGCCAGUUUCCAGCUAAAGGUAAUCCAGCCAUCAACGCUGCAAGAAUCCCAAUACAUAUAAAAAGUUGGUUUAUAGAUCCAAGGGCACCACGGAUUUCAGUUGGUGAGAUCUGACAGAUAGAAAAAAUGUCAGCAGAUGUUUCCAAAAGACUAGACAACUAAAGAAAAUAGUAAAGAUGAAAAAUAACUCAGAUAUCUAAAGUGGAACAUUAGCAGAUGAUAUACCAAUACCAACACUGACCAGUAAGCAGCCAAUUAUCAGUCUGGAUAGUCUGGGCCGUAGCACUGAAAACAUUUAAGGCAUUUUGAAGAAUUAGUUUUCUAUGACAGUAGACAAGCUAAUAGUUAAUGAAAUGAUACAAAGUAAGAACCGCUCCAAUAAUAAGAGGGAUAGCAUCUAAUUGAAACAUAAGAACCGCUCCAAUAACCUGUACGAUAUGAUGGACUAUUUUCUUAGGUACCAUUUUCUGCUUCAGAAGCUUACCAAUUAAAGGAAUGUUACCUAGAGCGCGGAGCUUGACCAUCCUUACUUUAUCUUUAUGCUCCAUCUCUUCCUCAAGUGUAGUCAUUAGCCUCACUUCUUCCUUGAGCUUGUCAGCUCCACCAAACAAAAUUGGUCAUCACAACAAAUAAUUGGUUAAUCAAAAUAAAACAACAUGCAAACCUCGCAACAAAUUCUAAUCAUUCUAGAAAGCUUAUUUACGUGUAGAAGAAUUCACAUUUUAAAUUUGAUUGAUAAUCUGCAAUUUCUGCUGCACGCCUGCAUAUCUCUAGAGCAUGGCGAGCAUCCCCUAAAAUAACUGCUACCUGAAAUAUGCGUAUGGCAUACUUUAACUGAUACCAGAGUCUCAACACAUCUUACAGCUUGGGCAGAGAUUAAGAAGGACUUAUCCAAAACUAAGAUGGGCCUAUCAUUGAUCCAAAUCCACUAAACAAAUGUAGAAAUAAGAGAGGCUAGAAUAGAGAGAUUGUGUUCACACUAGCUGGAAAAGGAGAGCAUGAAAAUGGAUGGGAUGAUGGUCAGAUUCAUGGAUGAACCUAGACACCAAAUAUUAAGCAUAUUAUCAAUGUGCAAGGCUUGUAAUUUGCAGGAGUAAAUGGGUAGCUAAUUAUGUUUACACUACAGAUUAUUGUAUUCACAUGCAAAUCCCAUGAUUUUAGGCACCAUUUCAACAAGACAAGAUUAAAGGCGAUCCCAUCAAUUCAGCAAUCCAAAAAAGGCAAUCUUAAGGUAGAAUAGAGUUGUUUUAUCCUUAAGCAAUCUUUUAGAUUGUUCUCAAGUUCUGUAUCUCUUAGGUGAAUUUACUAGAGUGGUGAACUUCUAUAGUUCUAUAUCCUUGAUUAAAAUUCUUUUGGUGUUGUUUAUUUAUCCCUUAGUGUCUAGUCUUGGUGGUGAACUUUUAUCAUUUUAAUCCAAUAACAGUAUUCCGUCUUUAUUCAAAUUCUUAUGAGUUUUUCUAUUUACAAUUAAUCUUCAACAUCUCAACCAUCAAUUCUCGGCAUCAUUAACAUCAAAUGGAUGGUAGUACAGCCUUAUAAAAAUGCAAGAAUACAUCAAUUUUAGUAGAUGAAAAUAAAGAAUGAAACCUAGCUUUCACAGAAAAACAACAACCCAUAUAGCAAACAUUCCAAAUUAAUACACAAAGACUGACUUGAGCUUGGAUAUGAAAUGCACAUAAGCCAAAAGAACCGUGAAAAGUAAAUACUAAGCUAAGACAAUAAAAUACGUAAAAUAUCAAACAUCCCAAAUUAAUCAUAAGAAAAUACAACUUUUAGCUUGCAUAACAAAACCCAAAAACCAAAAAGUUAAAAUAAUAAUAAUAAUAAUAAUAAUCAUAAUAAUAACGCAGCUAAAGUAUUAACCCAAGUCAAACUUCCCAAAUUAGUCAUCAAAAAACAGAACUUUAAGCUUCAGCAACAAAUAGCCAGGAUCCAAGAACCAAAAAAUAAGACAACCAAUAAUUAAGCUACAAUAACAAUGGUCCAGAUAUCAAAAACUAAAAAAUAAAAAAAAAAAGUUUAAAAAACACACCUUUGAGCUUCAAUACUAACUAUACAGAAGGCAAAAAAAUGUGAUUGAUAGAGAAAUAGGUACCAGAAGGGGACAUAAGGUUGAGCUCCUGAGGCUUAGGGAUACAACUAUCAUGAACCUUCAUGGCAAUGCUACCACCUAUUUUUGAGACCCAUCCAAGAUUAUAGAACUGGCGAAAAAGCUCAGAUACCAAAGACCUUGUCUCCUUCACUAUUUUGCUCUCUAAAUAAGCUUGUGAAACACUUCCCAUCUUCAAGCCCCCAUUUACUGCCACUGUUGUAGGUAUAGCCAUUGCAAAAACAAAGGCUUUCUUCAUAUUGGCCAAAAAAGAAAAGAGGAAGUUUUGCAUGUUUUGUAGGACAGAAUUUAGAAAUGGACCAGUCUUUACAGUGUAUUAUCAGAAUUAUAUGUCUUAAGCUUUUUUAUAUGUAGACACACAUAUAUACAUAUUGCACCUUACUUCACUUAGGCAGCCGAUUUUUUUGCACAUUGCACCUCAACCAAUAUAAGGGUUCUAGAGCCUAUAGUGCACCUAGCACACUUGAUAACACUAAAUUCAAGUACCUUAUUUAAAAGAGAAACAAAGCUAAAAACAUGCUUGACAUGAUAGCCAUUUAUUUUCUAUCUGGUUAGGACUGUUAUAUCACAUCCUUAAUUUACUAUAUUUAAUCCCACAUCACAAAGACUAGUAAAUAUACAUAAAAGGUCAACUAAAAGUAUAUAUCCAUCAUCAUAUGACUCUGAGAUAUAUGAAAAAUGCUUGACUUACCACCACAUUAGACCAUAUGCUUCAUUUGGUUUCACGGUAUAGUGAAUUCGCUUAAGAAAACCUUCUUGUAAUCUAUCAUUCAAGUAAUCCUAUUCAAACCAAAAGAAAUUCGUAAGGCAAUAAGAUGGCCAAACUCAUUGAAAACCCUGACAAACCAAUCAAGUGAAUGUAGAGUCACUUAAAUUCC
rnacentral:lncRNA from 1 species